rnacentral:piRNA from 1 species
GUUUGCUGUAUCAGUGUGGAGCGUCUGCCA